GGAAUCACCCCGGGAAACCGGGGAUAAUUCCGGAUAACGCACAUAUGCUGGAAUGCUUUAUGCGUAAAAUGGAUUCGUCUGCCCAAGGAUGGGUCUGCGGCCUAUCAGGUAGUAGUGGGUGUAAUGUACCUACUAGCCAACAACGGGUACGGGUUGUGAGAGCAAGAGCCCGGAGAUGGAUUCUGAGACAUGAAUCCAGGCCCUACGGGGCGCAGCAGGCGCGAAAACUUUACAAUGCGGGAAACCGUGAUAAGGGGACACCGAGUGCCAGCAUCAUAUGCUGGCUGUCCAGGUGUGUAAACUACACCUGUUAGCAAGGGCCGGGCAAGACCGGUGCCAGCCGCCGCGGUAACACCGGCGGCCCGAUGGUGAUCGUGAUUAUUGGGUCUAAAGGGUCCGUAGCCGGUUUGGUCAGUCCUCCGGGAAAUCUGAUAGCUCAACUAUUAGGCUUUCGGGGGAUACUGCCAGGCUUGGAACCGGGAGAGGUAAGAGGUACUACAGGGGUAGGAGUGAAAUCUUGUAAUCCCUGUGGGACCACCUGUGGCGAAGGCGUCUUACCAGAACGGGUUCGACGGUGAGGGACGAAAGCUGGGGGCACGAACCGGAUAAGAUACCCGGGUAGUCCCAGCCGUAAACGAUGCUCGCUAGGUGUCAGGCAUGGCGCGACCGUGUCUGGUGCCGCAGGGAAGCCGUGAAGCGAGCCACCUGGGAAGUACGGCCGC
rnacentral:rRNA from 1 species